UGGGGAAUAUUGGACAAUGGGCGAAAGCCUGAUCCAGCCAUGCCGCGUGAGUGACGAAGGCCUUAGGGUUGUAAAACUCUUUCGUCGGGGACGAUAAUGACGGUACCCGAAGAAGAAGCUCCGGCUAACUUCGUGCCAGCAGCCGCGGUAAUACGAAGGGAGCUAGCGUUGUUCGGAAUCACUGGGCGUAAAGCGCACGUAGGCGGAUAGUUAAGUCAGGGGUGAAAUCCUGGGGCUCAACCCCAGAACUGCCUUUGAUACUGGCUGUCUCGAGGUCGAGAGAGGUUGGUGGAAUUCCUAGUGUAGAGGUGAAAUUCGUAGAUAUUAGGAAGAACACCGGUGGCGAAGGCGGCCCACUGGCUCGAUACUGACGCUGAGGUGCGAAAGCGUGGGGAGCAAACAGGAUUAGAUACCCCCGUAGUCCCUGAGCGGGCUGGCAAGGCGCAU
rnacentral:rRNA from 1 species